rnacentral:piRNA from 1 species
UCCCUCACUGCUCCCACUUGCUAUUCUGAAA